AUCAAACGGCUGGUGUUGUUGGUGUCCUCUGCUUCGAGUCCGGCGUUGCCUCGGAUGACUACUACCGCGGCGCCCAACGUAGGCCACACCCACUCUUGAUCUUCAGCAAGUUUCAUUGCAAAUCUUCCAGCUCGUAUGCGUUGGUGCCGAUGGAUUUCCUUACGCGAGCUUUUAGAAAUUUCCGCGCGAAUUUCGCAUUGAACGCGCGGCUGAAAUCACUCAAUGCAAAGUUUCGCCGGUAUACCUCCUGACCGGGCGCUAGUCUUAGCCGCCGCGCACGCCGGUUAUAGCGAACGCUACUGCGCUCAUACGCCGCGUGUAAUUGUGUCUGGACUUUCUGUUGCACCAGGGAUUGCCUGUCUGCUGUACUCAACGCUGCGAAUUCGUGCUCGUCUAACGACCUUAAUUUCCUCGCAACAUCAUAUGUCGGCCGAAUAGUGCGAAAAAAGGCGUUACUCCAGUCGCAGAAUGCACGCUAUUUCUGAUGGCCACUUCAAUUUCCGGAAGGUGUAGGUCCCACUCGCGCUGAUCCUGCUCCAGAUACGCCCGUAUCGCGGACAGUAUCGUCCGGUUCACCCUUUCGGACGCGUUGCUUUGCGGCGAAUACACCGGUGUCCGCAGAUGCUUAACACCGUAGCCCUCCAUCAUGUCUGCAAACUGCUUGGACGUGAAUUGCUUACCAUUAUCGGAGUGUAUGACUUCUGGAACGCCGAACGUAGGGAACACUUCGUUCACCAAGAAGUCGACGACGCUCCGAGUGGUGGCCUCCCGCAUCGCCUUCAGGAUCGUGAAUUUGGUGAAGUGAUCUACCACUAUGAAUAUGAAGGCGUGCCCCUUCCUUGAUCGCGGAUACUUGCCCAAGAAGUCUAUGUACAACUUCUGGAACGGCCUCUCCGUGACGACUUCUGCACCAAUUCCCACCUGCAUCCCGUAAUUGGUGGCUUUCGUCUCUUUGUAGACCACGCAUUUUCGGACCACUUCAGCAACGUCUUUGGCCAUUCCCGGCCAAUAAAACUGCCGCCGCAACCAGGACAACGUCUUCAACACUCCUCCAUGCGUUGACGCUUCGGUAUGGGCUUCGAUAUAAGCAUGCCGGUUAGCGCACGCGGAACCCACAGUUUCCACACACUGCCUUCGAGCUGAUCUUCUAGCCGAUUGAAGGAUGUCUUUUUGUAGAUCACCCCGUUUUCAAUUUUUAAAUCAGGUCUCCUGGAAAGAAAUCCAACUCCUCUAAAGUUUCGGCUUCGGUGCUCCUGGACAGCAUAUCCGCCACGAUGUUGUCAGAGCCCUUCCGGUGCGUGAUUUCAAAGUCGAAGCCUUGGAGCAGCAACGACCAACGUGCCAAUCGCCCGGACAAAUCCUUCAUGGACAUCAGCCAUUUCAAACUGGCGUGAUCGGCUAUGACCGUGAAUGGCAUCAUUUCGAUGUAUGGCCGGAAUUUUUGUAUCGCCAAUACCGCCGCCAAGCACUCCUUCUCGGUCACCGAGUAGUUUACCUGGUGCUUAUUCAUCUUAGCCGAGCAGAACGCAAUGAGCCUCUCGUUUCCCUUUAAGUCCAUUUGGAACAAUACCGCUCCGACGCCAAUAUGGGAUGCGUCACACUGCACGAAGAAUGGGCGUGAAAAAUUAGCGUGUACCAGCACUGGCGCAGAUGUGAGCGCCUUCUUCAACGCAUCGAAUGCUGCAACGGCUUCGUCACCGAGUGAGAAAAGGCCUCCAGAACGCUUUUUUAGUGCCUCAGUAAGCGGAGCUGCUAAGGUGGCAAAAUCUCUAAUAAAUCGCCUGUACCACCCGGCGGUUCCUAAGAAAGCUCGAACCUCCUUUACGGACCUUGGCACCUGUAUGCGCUGUAUCGCCUGCACCCGUUCCGGAUUUGUUCGAAGCACGCCGCCGCCCACGAUAAAUAUUUCAACGUUUUAAAGCAAAACUUCGACUUUUGUAACCCUAUCGUCAGAUUUGCCUUCUUGAGGCAUUCAGCGACUCUCUUCAGGUACUCCAAGUGCGUAUCAAAAUCAGCCGCGAAGACUACCAAAUCGUCCAGAUAUACUUUAACGUUGGACCUCAGUUCAUUCGGUAUGACCUUGUCCAUCAGCCGGCACAACCUUUGAGCGGCGUUACACAACCCGAAAGGCAUCAUGCGGAAUUGGUACAACGGUCGCCCUGGUACCGUAAACGCAGUGCACCUUCUACUGGACUCCUCCAACUCCACCUGCCAAAACGCAAAUUUCAGGUCCACACUGGAAAUAUAAUAUGUCUGAUCGAUUCCAGAUAGGAUUCCCUCCACGCAUGGUAGCGGAUAGGCAUCUUUUACUGUCAGUUUGUUCAACUUGCGGGCAUCGAGGCAAAAGCGGUUCUUGCCCGGCCGUCGCACUAUGGUGGUGCGGUUACUCCACGGACUAUCGCCUACCUCGAUGACGCCAAGCGCCAGCAUGCUGUCCACCUCAUCCCACACAAUCUUCUGCAUAGCGGGUGAUAGAGGGUAGUGCCUGUCUUUCACUGGCUCUGCUCCGCUGACCAAUUCAAUACGCUUUUGUUGUUCAUUCAAUUCCCACAUAUCUGGUUCCGGCCUUACUUCAUCCUGGUCCGCAUAAUGCGCCACUCUAUCAGCUAGCAAUUCAUCGAAGACAAGUCUUUUAACGGCUGGCUUUUCCGGAGGAAUUAAUAGUGGUGCCAAAUUAAACAGCCGCCAAAAGUCGAUGCCGAAAUACGCGUUCUGUUCAAGUGAUGGGCAUACGUAAAAUUCCACUUCUUUGGUCUCCUCUCGAUACACCACUGUUCGAGACCGCGUUUGCCUAGCACGCUUACCGAGGCCCCGGUAUCCAGCAAACCGCGUAGCACAUGGCCUCGCACCCGUACUUCGGCAAAAAUCCUCGGAUCUGCUGCUCCUUCGCGUCGCACUGCCUCGGCUACCAGCUUCUUCGUCUGCCUUCUCACUCGGAAUCGUGCUCGGGCCUUUUUAACUUUGGCUGUCACCAUCCUCAUUCCAUCUAACUGAUGUUGAGCAAAAAUUCUAUUGCGCGCCUCCAGAUAUGCCCGCAUCUUUUCCUCAUACGGACCGCUCCGCUGUCAUCCUGGUGGGCACCUGUGUCGAGCGCGAUUCGCCCACUUGCUCCGCACUCCGACGGCCGUUUCCCGUGCACGCGGGGCAUGUUGGACUAUAGGUGUCGGGCCUGCCACACCUAUAACAGAAGACGCGCCUUUCCGGUGACAUGCAGUCGCGGAAACCAAUGCCGGCUUGUCUGCAGUUCCAGCAAACUAACGCCUGUUGCGGACGCCUUGCCAAACGCGCCUCUUCAACUAUGCCGAAAUCCGCCGACUCCUCGCCGUUAGUGUCGUCGACCAACUCCUCCACUGCCGGUGGACGGUUUCCACCACUAAAACGUGUGCCGCUGCGUGUUGGGAACAAGCCUUCUCGCCGCUGGACCAUAGCUUCCACCUCUACGCAUUCGUCACAUGGUGCUGUUUGGAGACGCGACGCCAGUUUCCUCAUGGCAUGGAUGUACUCCUCCACGCUUUCGUGUGCCUUCUGCCGUCUUUCGCGCAAUUGACGCAUGCGCUCGAAUUCAUCGGCGGCGCCUUUAAAACGGGACAGCAUGCUUCGCUUAAGUUCUGGCCAGCUGUCUGCCCGGUGGUCCCUGACAUACUGCCAGUACCACUCGCGAGCGUGCCCAGUUACUAACAGAUGGAAACUGUUUAAUACUUCAAACCAUGCGCAGCGACACUGCCUCUGAAGGAACUCUACCUGGAAAACGAAGUCUUCUACCGCCAUUUUCUCCUUGUCGCCGCUGAAAACGAUGUCCCACUUCUCAACGCGGCACCAUCCUGAUCUGCCAUUCGCCGCAGCAUACGGAGGAGGUGGGUCCAGCUGACCACUCCAAUCGUUACGCCUAUUGCCUCUUCGACGGGCCGACUGUGCCGCGGGAUUUUGCCAAUUUCGAGCUGUGUUGCUGCUAUUGCCAGCUCCACUGGAGGAAUUAGCUGCCGCUGGCCUUGCUACCGGACGCGAAGUUCCUCUUGCUGGUGUUAGAGGUUCAGCCUGGUAUUGAUGCUGCCGUUUUGGCACCGCACCACGAUUCUGGCUGACUGGCGGUUGCCAUGCUCCAUUUGCAGCUGAAUCGCCGCUAUUCGCUUGCGGUUGCAAGAUUUCUUUGAGCGCGCCCAUUAAGACAUGAUGUUGUUGAUGCCCUCUUUUUGCGAUUGGCGGUAUGUUUCGUUCGCCUGGGCCACUGCUGCUUCUACCGCCGACGCGACUACUGGCUCGGCGUCCCAGUGUACUGCUGGUGCUAUGGACGGCCUCGGAGGAGUGUGCAUGAGGCCACCGGUUGAAAAACCCACGGCUCCUUCUAGGUGUUCCUCCAGAUCAUCAUUUCUGGCAGUUCUCGACCUUGUGUUAUACGCGCGCGCAGAAUCCUUUUCCAUUUCAAUCAAAAAAAAAAACGCUUUGUUUUUUUAUGAUAUUUAUAUAUAUUUUGGAUUAUAAAUUUGUUCAGCUUUCAAGCAGGCCCCGAAGAAAAAUUCGUUAUUCAAUUGAAUUGAUGUAUAUAUAUCUGUAUUCCACACAAUGAAAAUGUUUGCAAACGCCCAAAACAACAAAAACAAAUGGGCAAGAA